rnacentral:sRNA from 1 species
GUACUGCUGCUGACUGAUGGGGAGGAUAACACUGCAAGUUCUUGUAUUGAUGAAGUGAAACAAAGUGGGGCCAUUGUUCAUUUUAUUGCUUUGGGAAGAGAUGCUGAUGAAGCAGUAAUAGAGAUGAGCAAGAUAACAGGAGGAAGUCAUUUUUAUGUUUCAGAUGAAGCCCAGAACAAUGGCCUCAUUGAUGCUUUUGGGGCUCUUACAUCAGGAAAUACUGAUCUCUCCCAGAAGUCCCUUCAGGUCAGAGUUCUCAUUCCUUGGGUUUUCAUGUUCACUUUUGCCAUAACAAGAAAAAACCAUUUGGUGGUUAUAAGUUUUGAGUUCCAUAUUUUUCUCAAAGUAAAUUUUUAAUUAAAAUCUAAACUUUAAUCUUAAAUAGAAAUUACCCUUAGCAAUAGCCAAAUUAAUUGGUGAAAUAAGAGUAAAAUAAAUGGUGAAACAGCAGACAUACUGUUUCUUUUCCUAUUGCCAUGGGUUUG